rnacentral:rRNA from 1 species
UGAGAAAUAGCUACCACUUCUACGGAGGGCAGCAGGCGCGCAAAUUGCCCAAUGUCAAAAAAAAACGAUGAGGCAGCGAAAAGAAAUAGAGCCGGCAGUGCCAAUGGCAUUGCCGUUUUCAAUGGGGGAUAUCUAAACCCAUCCAAAAUCGAGUAUCAAUUGGAGGACAAGUCUGGUGCCAGCACCCGCGGUAAUUCCAGCUCCAAAAGCGUAUAUUAAUGCUGUUGCUGUUAAAGGGUUCGA